GCCAACGUGAGGCUCUCUCUGCCCAAUUGGCAGUUUCAUGGAUGGCUGUCCACUUCAUUUGUCUUUCAGCUGCCCAAUGCGGUGAGGUCUCUGGCUAGUGAUUCAGUCACAAAACCGUUCAUACCAGCUGAGUCACCAGUCAUCCUAAGCGCAUGUGUUUUGGAUGCAGAAGGAAAGUAAAGCACGAACUUGAACGGGAAUGGGAAGACAUUACAGAGCAUCUAAUCAGCGAUUUGAACCCUGAUCACAGGAGCUGUGAAUGUUUGAACAAGUCUCUCAAAGGAACGGUCUUCAGAAGGUGAAGAUGUCUCACAAACAGGCACAAGAAAACAAUGCCGACUGUGUCUUGCAAAGAGGACUGCAAUGUGUUUAACACACCCAGAACGAAAUGAAAAGCAACACACCAACUACAGACACUACUGGGUGAGGCCACCUGCUAAUCAUCUCCAAGAACUGCCACAAUUCCUGGAGGUUAAUUACAACAAGCCUGAGAUUUGCUCCGAGAAACUGCCCGAUGACAGCACUUAGCCCCGCCCCUUCCAGUACACACAAUAUAAGAAGCCCGGCUGCACAGAAGGUGACAUCUUUUGCAAAUUGAGCUGACCUUCGGACGGAGCUCCCUUGAAGGACUCCAACUUCUGUCAUGAGAGCUAUUUGAGAGGCCCUAAAAAGCAUUUCUUUAAGUUACAAGGACUUGUAAGUGCCACAGGGGAUGGACGAGCAUCCUGACCAGAAGAGGGAUGAUGGUUCCUUAUCCAGACGGGAGGCUCCUAGAGGACAGACAGGUGUCCCGGCCAAGGAAGAGAAAGAUGCCAGACCUGAAAGGGACUUCUUGGGUGGAUGGAUGGACAUUCCAAGCAGAAGAGAAGAUUCCUUACCUAGGUUAGAAUCCCCAGGCAAACUCCCGACCGGACAUAUUUCUAGGACUUUCCCUGGCCAAGAAGAAAAAUGAAGAACAGGGAAGAACUGUCUCUCAUAUUCCCCCCAGUUGCUAGAUGGCGGCCGUCCUCGAUUUUGGCACCUAUUUGGGAACCAGUAAAGAAUGCUGGGAGUUGUAGUCCGACAGCACAGCCCUGCUGGGGUCCAUAUAUGUCACGAGGGUGCAGCAGGGAGAUGUACUCCCUGUUAUGUGGGACUUCCGUGUGACCUAGAAGUGCUUCCAAUUGGCCACAGCACUGGCACUGGAAUUACUCCCAUGUCCUCAAUAAAAGGGACUGCACUCCCUUGUCCAAGCAAGUCAGAGCUGGGAGGAGGAUGAACAACAUUCAACUGGAGGAGGGCAAUGGGGUGGAGAGAGGAGAGGUGAUUGAAGGAGAGACAACUUGUGUUUGUGUAUACAAGGUAUUUUGUAGUAAAACACCCAUUUAUUUGAACCUGUGACAGUCUUGGUGUCUCUGGCGCCCCUUUGCCUUCACAGACUAAUAAACAGGAUGGCCUGGUUGGUGUCUCAAAUUUUUUCUGUUGUUGCGACCUGUCAUUUUUGCACCCGGCCACUAUAUAUAU